rnacentral:rRNA from 1 species
UACGUAGGGGGCAAGCGUUAUCCGGAAUUACUGGGUGUAAAGGGAGCGUAGACGGUGAUGUAAGUCUGGAGUGAAAGGCAAGGGCUCAACCCUUGGACUGCUUUGGAAACUGUGCUGCUGGAGUGUCGGAGAGGCAAGUGGAAUUCCUAGUGUAGCGGUGAAAUGCGUAGAUAUUAGGAGGAACACCAGUGGCGAAGGCGGCUUGCUGGACUGUAAAUGACGCUGAGGCUCGAAAGCGUGGGGAGCAAACAGG